UACGGGGGGGGCAAGCGUUGUUCGGAAUUACUGGGCGUAAAGGGCUCGUAGGCGGCGUGUUAAGUCACUUGUGAAAUCUCUGAGCUUAACUCAGAACGGUCAAGUGAUACUGAUGUGCUAGAGUGCAGAAGGGGCAACCGGAAUUCCUGGUGUAGCGGUGAAAUGCGUAGAUAUCAAGAGGAACACCUGAGGUGAAGACGGGUUGCUGGGCUGACACUGACGCUGAGGCGCGAAAGCUAGGGUAGCAAACGGG
rnacentral:rRNA from 1 species